GGAAUCUUGUGCAAUGGGCGAAAGCCUGACACAGCCACGCCGCGUGCGGGAAGAAGGCCUUCGGGUUGUAAACCGCUUUCAGCAGGAACGAAAAUGACGGUACCUGCAGAAGAAGAUGCGGCCAACUACGUGCCAGCAGCCGCGGUGAUACGUAGGCAUCAAGCGUUGUCCGGAUUUAUUGGGCGUAGAGAGCUUGUAGGCGGUUCAGCAAGUCGGGUGUGAAAACUCUGGGCUUAACCCAGAGCCUGCACUCGAAACUGCUGUGACUAGAGUUCGGUAGGGGAGACUGGAAUUCCUGGUGUAGCGGUGGAAUGCGCAGAUAUCAGGAGGAACACCAAUGGCGAAGGCAGGUCUCUGGGCCAAUACUGACACUGAGGAGCGAAAGUCUGGGGAGCGAACAGGAUUAGAUACCCUGGUAGUCCAGACCGUAAACGGUGGGCACUAGUUGUGGGAACCUUCCACGGUUUCUGCGACGCAGCUAACGCAUUAAGUGCCCCGCCUGGGGAGUACGAUCGCAAGAUUAAAACUCAAAGGAAUUGACGG
rnacentral:rRNA from 1 species